GUAUAAGAGACAGGUGAGUCAUCGAAUCUUUGAACGCACAUUGCGCCCAUUAGUAUUCUAGUGGGCAUGCCUGUUCGAGCGUCAUUUCAACCCUUAAGCCCCUGUUGCUUAGCGUUGGGAGCCUACAGCACCGUAGCUCCUCAAAGUUAGUGGCGGAGUCGGUCUCACACUCUAGACGUAGUAAAUCUAUCUCGUUUACAGUUGUGCCGGUCCCCUGCCGUAAAACCCCCAAUUUUUCAAGGUUGACCUCGGAUCAGGUAGGAAUACCCGCUGAACUUAAGCAUAUCAAUAAGCGGAGGA
rnacentral:misc_RNA from 1 species